AAAAGAUUGUCAAGGGUGCGAACAGAUAGAGGAAGAAGUUAGAAUAGUGUUAAAGCAUGCUCCUAAUCGACCUGGUGGAGUUAACUAAGAGACAAAACUUACAGCAAAUGCUCAAAAUAAAGAUGUGUUGCAGCGACAUUUUAAAAAAAAGUUCUGAAAGUACAGGCUAGCAUAUGUUAUGUUAUAUGACCAGAUCAAAAAGUCCAGUCAGUUGCAACAACAAUUAAAGCAGCAAGAAACAGCCAAGUACACAUGCAAGUGGUA
rnacentral:lncRNA from 1 species